rnacentral:rRNA from 1 species
AACGAACGCUGGCGGCAGGCCUAACACAUGCCAGUCGAGCGAGGACUUCGGUUCUAGCGGCGGACGGGUGAGUAACGCGUGGGAAUGUGCCCUUCUCUACGGAAUAGCCCUGGGAAACUGGGAGUAAUACCGUAUACGCCCUAUUGGGGAAAGAUUUAUCGGAGAAGGAUCAGCCCGCGUUGGAUUAGGUAGUUGGUGGGGUAAUGGCCUACCAAGCCGACGAUCCAUAGCUGGUUUGAGAGGAUGAUCAGCCACACUGGGACUGAGACACGGCCCAGACUCCUACGGGAGGCAGCAGUGGGGAAUAUUAGACAAGGGGGGCAAACCUGAUCAAGCCAUGCCGCGUGAGUGAUGAAGGCCGUAGGGUUGUAAAGCUCUUUCAGCUGGGAAGAUAAUGACGGUACCAGCAGAAGAAGCCCCGGCUAACUCCGUG